GACAGAGGGUGCAAACGUUGUUCGGAAUUACUGGGCGUAAAGCGCGUGUAGGCGGUCUCGCAAGUCGGAUGUGAAAGCCCAGGGCUCAACCCUGGAAGUGCACUCGAUACUGCGAGGCUAGAGUCCCGGAGAGGAUGGUGGAACUCUCGGUGUAGAGGUGAAAUUCGUAGAUAUCGAGAAGAACACCGGUGGCGAAGGCGACUUACUGGACACAUAUUGACGCUGAGGUGCGAAAGCGUGGGGAGCAAACAGG
rnacentral:rRNA from 1 species